rnacentral:tRNA from 1 species
UGGGGCGUGGCCAAGUGGUAAGGCACGGGACUUUGGAUCCCGUAUCGAAGGUUCGAAUCCUUCCGCCCCAGCCA